UCACCCAUUUUGCUGACAAUUGAGGUUGUUCAGCAAACUCUGCUGCCUCUUGGGAACCAAUGUGUAGAUAUUAUUCAAUAGCAUUCAGGGUCUUACCUCUGAUUAGGAACAGAUGAAUAUUACAAUAAUUUAUGUUAAUAUAUUAGUAUUACUAGAUGUUAUAUUUUAUUGUCUCAAUAUAUGCAUAUUAAUGAGUUAAUGGCAAUUUCUAGCUAAUUAACAUCAAGCUUCUUUGAUUAUGUUCUUUGCUCAGUUGACCACUUUACAGCUGCUGGCAGUUAGGUGUGAUAAAAGCCUUGCGGGAUCAAAACUUUUUAAUUUUUAAAAUUGUAAUUACUAUUGCUUUCAACAUCCCCAUCUGAAGAGCAUUGGACUGAUCUCUCCUGGAAGAACUGGAAGCUGUCUUGUGUCACUUGAAGGUUACUGGCAUUGCUGUUGCUGAGUGAAGAGUAAGGACAAAGACUGCUGCAUGCAAAGAGGUUUCCCCCAAGUUAAAUGCCACUAGGCAGAAAAUAACUGACAUUUUGGGAAGAUAACACAGGGCAGCAUUAUGUGCUGUAGCCCUGCAGAAUGCCUGACAGAGCUGCCACACACAUUCAGGCUUACACAACAAAGAUUAUUUCCCCGUGGAAAGCAGAUGUUUAAUUGCCCAAGACCAGAAGCAGGAUAACACAUGGCUGCUGUACCUGUUACAGCUGCGUGUGCUUCAUGCUCAAGCUGCUGUGUCAC